rnacentral:tRNA from 1 species
CUCCCCAAGUAGGAUUCGAACCUACGACCAAUCAGUUAACAGCCGACGCUCUACAUG